rnacentral:rRNA from 1 species
UACGGAGGGUGCAAGCGUUAAUCGGAAUUACUGGGCGUAAAGCGCACGCAGGCGGUCUGUUAAGUCAGAUGUGAAAUCCCCGGGCUUAACCUGGGAACUGCAUUUGAAACUGGCAGGCUUGAGUCUUGUAGAGGGGGGGUAGAAGUUCCAGGUGUAGCGGUGAAAUGCGUAGAGAUCUGGAGGAAUACCGGUGGCGAAGGCGGCCCCCUGGACAAAGACUGACGCUCAGGUGCGAAGCGUGGGGAGGCAAACA